AUCUACACGACGAAUUCGCCAUCGGAGGCGUUCUAAUGAGGUUAAUUUACUAGUUCUUUUUCAUUUGUGUGCCUCCAGGAGGGUUUAUUUACUGAUGGAUAGGUAUUUUAAUGGUGUUUGGAUUCAUAUCUGUGUUGGGAAUUUUGAAAAGUUUUAGACUUUUGCUUUGGUGCUUGACAGAUUCCACAUGAGUUGAGCAAAUUGAAUGGAACCCAUUUGCUCAUUAAUGACCAAGAUAAAUACAAAUCAAUGUGGAUUCGAGCACACUCAUCUCUGUGGAUGGUUGGGGGUUUUCUGUUUAUUAUUUACUUGGG
rnacentral:lncRNA from 1 species